rnacentral:rRNA from 1 species
UGGUGGAGUGAUUUGUCUGGUUAAUUCCGUUAACGAACGAGACCUCAGCCUACUAAUUAGUUUCCGCAAUCUUUUGAUUGCGUCAACUUCUUAGAGGGACUGACGGCGUUUAGCCGUACGAAAUUGAGCAAUAACA